rnacentral:SRP_RNA from 1 species
GGCGGGUCUCCUCGCAUUACGGCUGGGUAAAUCUGGUCAGGUCCGGAAGGAAGCAGCCACAGCCUGUUUCCGUAAGUGCCGGGGGUUAGGCUCGCCACC